rnacentral:lncRNA from 1 species
UGUUUUUUUUUUGUACUUUCUCUUGGGGUAAGAAAUAUACUCAGUUGUCUUUCAGAAUUUUCAGAAUCAUUUUAUUUGCAUUUGUUUCUGUUAUUGGACUCUCUUGUUAAAUUUACGUACAGGGUUUAUUAAGUUCAGCAGUGGGUUCAUUCUCUGAACUAAUUUUGGUUUAAGAAUUGUUGAAUCUUGAGAAUUCAUCAGAUAUAUUUUCCUGGCUAGUAAAACUCUUACAUUUAAAGCAGUGCUAAAAAUUUUGAGAAGUGUUAGUCCCAAAACACAUGUUUAUGCCCCAUAUAGGGUAUGCCAUACAUACUAG